CGCUCUAGUACAUGCAGAAUAAGGCGAAACCGCGAAUGGCUCAUUAAAUCAGUUAUGGUUCCUUAGAUCGUUUCUUCCUACUUGGAUAACUGUGGCAAUUCUAGAGCUAAUACAUGCAGUGAGCCUGGAACCCUUUGGGUUUACGGGUGCUUUUAUUAGACCAAGAUCGAUCGGGUUUCGGCCCGUAUUGUGUGGUGACUCUGGAUAACUUUGUGCUGAUCGCAUGGCCAUGAGCCGGCGACGUUUCUUUCAAGUGUCUGCCUUAUCAACUUUCGAUGGUAGGUUACUUGCUUACCAUGGUUGUUACGGGUAACGGAGAAUCAGGGUUCGAUUCCGGAGAGGGAGCCUGAGAAACGGCUACCACAUCCAAGGAAGGCAGCAGGCGCGCAAAUUACCCACUCCCGGCACGGGGAGGUAGUGACGAAAAAUAACAAUACGGGACUCUUUUGAGGCCCCGUAAUUGAAAUGAGUACACUCUAAAUCCUUUAACGAGGAUCAAUUGGAGGGCAAGUCUGGUCCCCAGCAGCCA
rnacentral:rRNA from 1 species